GAGAAGGCACAAGGGCAGGGGUGGUAAUAGGGGUAUGGAUACAGGCAGGAGCAGGGCCAAGGGGUAGUUAUAGGGAAAGGAGCAGGGAAGUAAAAGGGUCAGGGUCAUGGUCAAGGGAAAAGGGUUGUUGUCAUAAGUGCAAGAGCAAGGAUGAGACGACAGUGGCCAGAAGAAAAAGUUUGUGUCAUUGAGAGCGGAAGAAACAGCGUUAUGGGAACCAAUAUUGCAGCAGGAAAAGGAACAUUGGCCGAGGAUUGGAGCAGGACGAACGGGAACAGGGGGACACGGUGGGUUAUGUUCACGGGUCAUCAGAAGGGAAGGUCAAUCCCAGAAAAAAGACACAAAAUGAAGCAAAAGUUAGUUUAAAAUCAGACAAUAUUUUUUUGUGUCAGCAGCGAGAGGUAUGACCCACAGCAACUCACUGAGAUCUUAGAUAAACAUUGACAAACAAUGAUAUAUUUCAAUGCAAAUUAGGACGUACAAUAUUUAUUAGUGCCUGAGUUGUCUGAGCGCAAAGGCCCUAACAACCUAAAACCUCUAAAAAAAUGACUGACCGAGGCAUUCACUCAAACAGAACGACGUCAAACAAUAACUGGGGGGUGUGGGGUUCAGCCUGACAUCCGUAGCAGGUGGACCAGAUGCGGCUCGGCUGACUUGGCAAAUUACUCAAGGAGAGCGGUUCUAACCGGUCCGGCCAGUCACGGCUGGCUUGGGGAAAAGAGAGCGGAGGCUUGCUUGUUUUGCAGGGCUGUAUUCAUUUAAGAGGAGGCAGCUAGUUUCCAUCUGCUGCAAUACUCGUCUGUCAUGUCACAUGUCUUUGUAUUCCUUCUGACAAAAAAACAACUGUGGAAUGGGUGUUGGGUGACAGGGCCCUCUUUAUGUUGAAAAAAAACCUCAGCGACGCUGACAGUUACAGCUGAGGAAUCAAUCCUUCACUUGUCAUGUUUGCUGUUCUAGUUAAUAGACGGCCAAGGUUAAAUAAUAUUUAAUGACUUGCUAAUUUUGAGCUAUUCAGGGUAGGUUUCUUUUAACAGAGGUAGCCAGGAUAUCAACAAACAUCCUGAAAUAAACUUUAAAUAUCAGUUCUAAAUUAACUUGAAUUUGAUUAUGUGAAAUAAUACGUAUUUGAUCCAAUAAUUCUGACACUGAUAGAAGCACUCUAAUCAGUCCAGUCUUGUUUGCAGAAACAAAGGAAUGGCUCAAGAAGAAGCACAUCAGAUCCUGUGGUGCCUUUGCCAGUCUCAUGACCUGCAUCUCAUAAAAAAAAGACUGAAGGAAGCAGGAUUUGCCAAGGAAGAGCCUCAAAACUGUGAAGAUUUGAAGAGUAAUCUGAAAGGAUGAGUGGACGAAAAACGCCUCAUGAGGACCUCUGUGUUUUUGUGUGUCCUCCCUUGUGUUGUGACCAGCUGCUGGCUCUCCGCCAAACCGGGGUCUGCAUGGAGAUGCGGAGGAAGAGACGGUGCUACGGAGCUAGCGUUAAGCGUGGGAAUAUAUGAGCUUCACGGAGCUCAAUGAGCACUAAUCGGACACGUCAGUCUCCCUGAACAGAUUCCCGUUCAUCCGCGCAGAUCGGACAUUGGCCGGAGGCUAGUGGGCAGUCCACGAAGGAGUCGACUCUCUUUUUAAUUUUCCUGAGGGAACUCUCCUGAAGGAAUCAAUGAAGUACUAUCUAUCUAUCUAUUUAUCUAUCUAUCUAAUUGCUUUGUUGGGUCUGUUCCGGUGUCUGGGCAUGCUGCCCUCCCCGCAACUCACCUCAGCAGAUGAUGGCGUGAAGCACAGCAGAGGCCACCAUGGUGUAUAUGGGUGUUGAGAUUGUGUUUUUGCUUUGUAUUGUUGUUCAUAAGGAUGGGAACUGAUAAGAUUUUUUUAAGUUCCAAAUCUACUUUCGAUUCUGCUUUACAAUUCGGUUCCUUAACGGUUCUCUUAUCGAUUCAUGAUUGGGCAAAAAAAGAGAGAAAAAACGGUGGUUUAUGUUAAUGUUGUUCAGUUUAGAGGUAACAUGACCUCACAAAGUCUACAGUGACAUCUUGACAGGCACAGGCGUAGCACAAAAAAAAUUCAUUUUUUGAAAAUAAAUAAGAAAUUAUUAUUUUUCUGUAGAAUUUAACAAAAUAAAUCAUGUGCAAAUAAAACAAUAAUGUAACAUUUAGUAACACGUGUCGUGACGUGAUAUUAACUUAUUAGAAGUCUUAUGAAAACCCUGAAUUGAAAAUCUCAGAAGAUGUAAGGUUUUAAAAACUGUAAACAAAGAUCUUGAAAAUAAUAACAAAUAAAGUCUUGACAUAUCUCACUUUGCAUGUAAUGAAUUAAUAUCACAUAUUAGUUUCACAUUUGAAGUUAAUUGCUGUGACUGAGAGAAAAGGUGGUGGAGGAAAACAUGCAACUUUUCUCUGGCGUCAAUUGAACAUUCACCUACCGAAAAUUAAGAUUGUCUACUGUAGCAAACAGAUGCAAGCUUUUCACCACAAACUUAGUCGCUGAUUGGUGACAUUAGUCUAGCGGCAGACGUGUACUGGUGCGAGUACUGCCCACUUCGGAGCUAGUCAGAAUCUGUUUCUCGUCAUGCUUGUGUAAAUGAGAAGGCAUUCAUUUCAAUUUUACAAAUAGCACUAAUAUGAUUGGUUGUGGUAUAUAGUACCCGUUGUAUUUUUUUGGUGUCAAAGCAUUACUGCUGCUUGGAUGAGAUAGGAGCAAUUGAAAAACGCAACUUUCAUUCAUAAUUAUUGCAUGCUGUGUGUUCAAAUCUUUCAGCAUAUUGCUCGUAUGUCCUCUUCUUUUAACUACUAAAAGUAGCACUGUUGCAAUAUUUUCUUGUAAAAUGUUAGUGUAUGUUCCGCCCGGGCAUCGCCAUUUUGCGAUCUCACGUCACUACGCACGUUAGGUCACUAUGCACGUUGCAUAAUGAGAUCAUACCCACCCGAAAUAAUCAUUAAAGGAACAAUGUGAGAAAAUGGCAAGCAAUUCCAAGGAAUUGAUACACCGGGAACCGGUUCUGAACAAGAACCGGUUUUCAAUUCCCAUCCCUAGUUGUUCGCCUGUGCAUGGUGGAAUCGUGUGCGCGCAAUAUAUAUCAUUUAUUGCUCUUUUUUUCUUUUUUCGUUGUGUUUUACUUUUGUAGCUGUAUGUAGAAAUGGUGCCGCUGAAGUGUCAGCUGGUUGCAUCAGCUUGGUGCUCUAUUAAUGUCUUAUAUGUACUUCAAUGUUUCCCUCUUGUUUUCUACUUGUUUUUUGGGGACGUUGCACUAGCAAACACAUCAUUUCAGAAGAUAAAGCCUAUCCUAUCCUUCGCCAUCAAGUACUGUCACGUGUUGCUUGGGGAUCAAAUACUUAUUUUACUCAAAUGCAAAUUCAUUUACAAACUAAUUGCAAUGUUUCUUUCUGUCUCAACCUACCCUAAACAUUACAGACUGUUUCUGUAAUGUCUCUAUAAAGUAAAAGUAAAGUCCCAAUAAUUGUCACACACACACACUGGGUAUGGUGAAAUGAUCCUCUGCAUUUGACCCAUCCCCAUGUUUAAACCCCUGAGAGGGGAGGGGAGCAGUGAGCAGCAGCAGGGGCCGCGCUCGGGAAUCAUUUGGUUAAUUGGUGAUUGGUGAUAGGAGGCGUGUGGGUCGGAUCACAGCUGACUCUUCUCACCCUGGACACAAACUAUUUUCCCUUCUCCCCUCAGGCAGGAGAUUACGGUCCAUCCAGACCCACACCUCCCGCCACCUGAACAGACACAUGAACAAUAACAAGAUCCGAUGGCUAAGUUACAGCUCAUUUUUAUUUAUUACCUAUCGGUAUUACCUAUUCUGUUUUAUGUGUUUUAUUUUGCACGAUUGUACCAAGAAAAAUUCCUAGAUUGUGAACCCGUUCUCAAACAAUGGCAAUAAAACUAUUCUGAUUCUGAUUUAACCCCCAAUUCCAACCAUUGAUGCGGAGUGCCAAGCAGGGAGGCAAUGGGUCCCAUUUUUUGUAGUCUUUGGUAUGACUCAGCCGGGGUUUGAACUCACAACCUCCCAGUCUCAGGGCGGACACUCGAACCAUUAGGCCACCGAGCUGUGUGGUAUGCGCAAAUUUUUUUUAUAAUACCUGCACCUACAUACUUUCUGCUGAAUAAAUACAAUAUAAUCAUUA